GAGACAGCAGUAGCCGCGGGAAAACGGAGGGUGCAAGCGUUAAUCGGAAUUACUGGGCGUAAAGCGCACGCAGGCGGUCUGACAAGUCAGAUGUGAAAUCCCCGGGCUUAACCUGGGAACUGCAUUUGAAACUGUCAGGCUGGAGUCUUGUAGAGGGGGGUGGAAUUCCAGGUGUAGCGGUGAAAUGCGUAGAGAUCUGGGGAAUACCGGUGGCGAAGGCGGCCCCCUGGACAAAGACUGACGCUCAGGUGCGAAAGCGUGGGGAGCAAACAGGAUUAGAUACCCCAGUAGUCCCUGUCUCUUAUACA
rnacentral:rRNA from 1 species